rnacentral:rRNA from 1 species
AUUCCAGCUCCAAUAGCGUAUAUUUAAGUUGCUGCAGUUAAAAAGCUCGUAGUUGGAUUUCGGGUGGGAAUGGCCGGUCCGCCGUUUCGGUGUGCACUUGCUAGUCCCACCUUGCUGCCGGGGACGUGCUCUUGGGUUUCGGCUCGGGACACGGAGUCGGCGAGGUUACUUUGAGUAAAUUAGAGUGUUCAAAGCAGGCCUACGCUCUGAAUACAUUAGCAUGGAAUAACACGAUAGGACUCUGGCCUAUCUUGUUGGUCUGUAGGACCGGAGUAAUGAUUAAGAGGGACAGUCGGGGGCAUUCGUAUUUCGUUGUCAGAGGUGAAAUUCUUGGAUUUAUGAAAGACGAACUACUGCGAAAGCAUUUGCCAAGGAUGUUUUCAUUA